CGCUCAUUCUGCCGGUUGUUAUG
rnacentral:miRNA from 1 species